rnacentral:rRNA from 1 species
UUGAACGCUGGCGGCAGGCCUAACACCUGCAAGUCGAGCGGAUGAAGGGAGCUUGCUCCUGGAUUCAGCGGCGGACGGGUGAGUAAUGCCUAGGAAUCUGCCUGGUAGUGGGGGAUAACGUCCGGAAACGGGCGCUAAUACCGCAUACGUCCUGAGGGAGAAAGUGGGGGAUCUUCGGACCUCACGCUAUCAGAUGAGCCUAGGUCGGAUUAGCUAGUUGGUGGGGUAAAGGCCUACCAAGGCGACGAUCCGUAACUGGUCUGAGAGGAUGAUCAGUCACACUGGAACUGAGACACGGUCCAGACUCCUACGGGAGGCAGCAGUGGGGAAUAUUGGACGAUGGGCGAAAGCCUGAUCCAGCCAUGCCGCGUGUGUGAAGAAGGUCUUCGGAUUGUAAAGCACUUUAAGUUGGGAGGAAGGGCAGUAAGUUAAUACCUUGCUGUUUUGACGUUACCAACAGAAUAAGCACCGGCUAACUUCGUG